CAGGACCAGAGUGCUCCACCCACCUGCAAAGGGAUGUGAUGUGUUGCCUGCCAUGCGCCAGGAGGGGAGGUUACUCAGAUAUUGGAAAAUACUGGGAAGUCUCUUCUGACGGAGCAAAGUUGGCGAAUUCUCCUCCACCUAUGUUGGCUUCACUGUCCAAACCAUCUGACUGAGAAGCUAAAUUUAAAACAGGAGGAGUGUCCAACUGCCCAUCAAAUGUCUUGGUCACUGCAUUGGAACUCAGCCACUCAACUUAGGUCUAAGAAUUCUACAGCCUGUUCUAGCCUCGGCUUCUUCUCCAUCCUUGGAUGUACAGGCUACCAUGCUGUUGGAGGAUCAGAAGAAAUCAUGGAUGGGCAAGCACCCUAAAUGCCCUGUGCACUUAGAAAAAGGUUGAAUUGAUUGUACACAGCACAGGAAAUGCCUGAUUUUGUUCCCAUGACAUUGUGCAUGCUUCAGCUGCUCUGAGAGUUCCUCCAAAGCCUGACCCUAGAACAUUUUCUUUGCCUACUUUUAAAAGCACACCUGCUUGCCGCUCUUAUCAUGGAGGGAUCACUCUGACAUUGUUGAGAACAGAUUUUGUGUUCCACUUCUGUUGGGAAGGCAGACCCAGGAGGCUCUGUUUAUUUUUAGCAGAACCAUUAUUAAACUGCUACUAAUAUUAACAUCAAUACUACUCCUACUAAUAAUACGAGGAAACACCCACUUUUGUGUGAUUGAGCCAGGUUGCCCGGAGGCAGAGGAAUGGAUUCAUUGACCUUUUGAGUCUGAUCUCAGCCCUUUGGUUCUAUUACCACCUUGUAAACCUGAGGGUGUUUUGUAUUUACCCCUAAGGAGUUGUGGUUAGAAUCUGCUAAAAAUAUCUCACGAUGCACCUCCCAAUGGUCAUCGCCCUUUAUAACAUACCUGUUGUUCAAGACUUAAAGUUUCCUGGGUGGUGACAGAGAAGAACUGGCUGGAGGAAGGCUUUGGAAUUUAAGUGACACUUGCCAAGCUGGUGAGGCUAAGUGCCAUUCCAAAGUCUGAUUCCUGCCGUCUGCCGUGGGGUUACUUCCAUACCGUGCCAUUCCCCAUUCAUUAAACACAUAGUUACAGAUUCCUAGAACGAGCCAGCCAAGGUGCUAAUCUAGCCAGGAAGAGAGACAAGCAAACACCCACAAUGCAAUGUGGCAAGUGCUAGGGGGCGGAGAAUCAAGAAGAGGGAAGGCGACGAUUCAGCUGGGGACUGAUUGGUGUCAAGAGAUCCUAUCAGGAAAGGCUCCCUGAAGGAAGCAGUGUUUGGGUUGAGAUGAGAAGGAUGAGUAUCAGAUAGACAGGGGGAGAAGGAUUAAUUGUGCUCUGGGUAUGGACAGCAUAUGCAAUGGUUUGGUGGCAGGCAGGGACAAUGACCUGCCCAUUUGGGUUACUGUGAUAUUAUGAAAUAAAUAGCUUCAUCCAGUUUCCUGGCAUACAAUUCUUAAAGUCCUUGGUAUCUCCAAAGGGAUGAAUGUCUACAAGGACACUAAUGGGUUGACUGAUGGCUGGCCACUUCUAGUAGCCUUUAGGAUGCAGGCUGGUCCAUGGGAAAACCAACCAUACACUCAAAGGAUUUGCCCAUACCUCUGAGGCGAGGAGGGAAUUGGAAGUUGACCUGGUCACCAGUGGCUGAUGAUUUAAUCAGUCAUGCUUAAGUAAUGAAGCCUCCAUAAAACCCCCAAAAGGACAGAGUCCUGGGGAUUCCAGGAAGGUGAACAAGAACUCACUCACAUACCUGGAGAGUAGUGUAUCCCAACUCCAUGAAGAUGCUUAAAACCCUUCCACAA